CAUGAUUUACUUUUAAGAAACAAACCGUGAACUUUAUAUACUAUUCGUGUUGAUUGUUCAAUUACUUUGGUAGUUUUCAAUCAAACACUGUCAUUCGUUGAACAUUAGAUAGUUGGCUCGUUAUGUUUUAUACAUAACCUUCUCAGCUGAUUUGUUGUAUAGACUAAACAUCUAUCAUCAAUCACCAAAACAUAGAAA
rnacentral:misc_RNA from 1 species